UACGUAGGGUGCGAGCGUUAAUCGGAAUUACUGGGCGUAAAGUGCGCGCAGGCGGCCGAGCAAGUCGAGUGUGAAAGCCCCGAGCUUAACUUGGGAACUGCGCUCGAAACUACUUGGCUAGAGUGUGGCAGAGGGAGGUGGAAUUCCACGUGUAGCGGUGAAAUGCGUAGAGAUGUGGAGGAACACCGAUGGCGAAGGCAGCCUCCUGGGCCAACACUGACGCUCAUGCACGAAAGCGUGGGGAGCAAACAGG
rnacentral:rRNA from 1 species